GUUUUAAUAGUUUAAUCAAAACACUAUUUUGUGGAAAUAGAGAAAUAAUUUUAUUUAAGACA
rnacentral:tRNA from 1 species